AUCGCUUCUCGGCCUUUUGGCUAAGAUCAAGUGUAGUAUCUGUUCUUAUCAGUUUAAUAUCUGAUACGUCCCCUAUCUGGGGACCAUAUAUUAAAUGGAUUUUUGAGAACGGGGGCCGAUUUCGAAGCUUGCUUCCGUCGCCCUAUAGUUACAUAGUUACAUAGUUACAUAGUUAGUACGGU